rnacentral:rRNA from 1 species
UACAUGCAGUCGAGCGGACAGAUGGGAGCUUGCUCCCUGAUGUUAGCGGCGGACGGGUGAGUAACACGUGGGUAACCUGCCUGUAAGACUGGGAUAACUCCGGGAAACCGGGGCUAAUACCGGAUGCUUGUUUGAACCGCAUGGUUCAAACAUAAAAGGUGGCUUCGGCUACCACUUACAGAUGGACCCGCGGCGCAUUAGCUAGUUGGUGAGGUAACGGCUCACCAAGGCAACGAUGCGUAGCCGACCUGAGAGGGUGAUCGGCCACACUGGGACUGAGACACGGCCCAGACUCCUACGGGAGGCAGCAGUAGGGAAUCUUCCGCAAUGGACGAAAGUCUGACGGAGCAACGCCGCGUGAGUGAUGAAGGUUUUCGGAUCGUAAAGCUCUGUUGUUAGGGAAGAACAAGUACCGUUCGAAUAGGGCGGUACCUUGACGGUACCUAACCAGAAAGCCACGGCUAACUACGUGCCAGCAGCCGCGGUAAUACGUAGGUGGCAAGCGUUGUCCGGAAUUAUUGGGCGUAAAGGGCUCGCAGGCGGUUUCUUAAGUCUGAUGUGAAAGCCCCCGGCUCAACCGGGGAGGGUCAUUGGAAACUGGGGAACUUGAGUGCAGAAGAGGAGAGUGGAAUUCCACGUGUAGCGGUGAAAUGCGUAGAGAUGUGGAGGAACACCAGUGGCGAAGGCGACUCUCUGGUCUGUAACUGACGCUGAGGAGCGAAAGCGUGGGGAGCGAACAGGAUUAGAUACCCUGGUAGUCCACGCCGUAAACGAUGAGUGCUAAGUGUUAGGGGGUUUCCGCCCCUUAGUGCUGCAGCUAACGCAUUAAGCACUCCGCCUGGGGAGUACGGUCGCAAGACUGAAACUCAAAGGAAUUGACGGGGGCCCGCACAA